GAUGAACGCUGGCGGCGUGCUUAACACAUGCAAGUCGAACGGAAAGGCCCAAGCUUGCUUGGGUACUCGAGUGGCGAACGGGUGAGUAACACGUGGGUGAUCUGCCCUGCACUUCGGGAUAAGCCUGGGAAACUGGGUCUAAUACCGGAUAGGACCACUUCUUGGAUGUUGUGGUGGAAAGUUUUUUCGGUGUGGGAUGAGCUCGCGGCCUAUCAGCUUGUUGGUGGGGUAAUGGCCUACCAAGGCGUCGACGGGUAGCCGGCCUGAGAGGGUGUACGGCCACAUUGGGACUGAGAUACGGCCCAGACUCCUACGGGAGGCAGCAGUGGGGAAUAUUGCACAAUGGGCGCAAGCCUGAUGCAGCGGCGCCGCGUGGGGGAUGACGGCCUUCGGGUUGUAAACUCCUUUCGCUAGGGACGAAGCGUUUUGUGACGGUACCUGGAGAAGAAGCACCGGCUAACUACGUG
rnacentral:rRNA from 1 species